UACAGAGGGUGCGAGCGUUAAUCGGAAUUACUGGGCGUAAAGCGCGCGUAAGCGGCUUUGCAAGUCGGGUGUGAAAUCCCCAGGCUUAACCUGGGAACUGCAUUCGAGACUGCAUUGCUAGAGUAUGGGAGAGGGAAGUGGAAUUUCCGGUGUAGCGGUGAAAUGCGUAGAUAUCGGAAGGAACAUCAGUGGCGAAAGCGACUUCCUGGACCAAUACUGACGCUCAUGUGCGAAAGCGUGGGGAGCAAACAGG
rnacentral:rRNA from 1 species